rnacentral:tRNA from 1 species
GCCUUCGUGGUUUAGUGGUCAGUAAGCUCCACGCGUAUUCAAGAGGUCCGUGGUUCGAUUCCCGGCGAGGGCA